rnacentral:rRNA from 1 species
CCUACGGGAGGCAGCAGUGAGGAAUAUUGGUCAAUGGGCGGAAGCCUGAACCAGCCAAGUAGCGUGCAGGAUGACGGCCCUACGGGUUGUAAACUGCUUUUAUACGGGAAUAACGCGCCUUACGUGUAGGGCUUUGCAUGUACCUUAUGAAUAAGGACCGGCUAAUUCCGUGCCAGCAGCCGCGGUAAUACGGAAGGUCCGGGCGUUAUCCGGAUUUAUUGGGUUUAAAGGGAGCGUAGGUCGGAUGUCAAGCAUGCUGUGAAAUGUUCGGGCUCAACCCGGACAUUGCAGCGUGGACUGGCGGGCUUGAGUACGGGGAAGGCAGGCGGAAUUCGUGGUGUAGCGGUGAAAUGCUUAGAUAUGACGAAGAACCCCGAUUGCGAAGGCAGCUUGCUACAGCGGAACUGACGCUGAUGCUCGAAAGCGCGGGUAUCGAACAGGAUUAGAUACCCGAGUAGUC